rnacentral:lncRNA from 1 species
CCACAACUCCCGCAGGAAAGCCUAAGGAAUAAUGCCCAUGGAGGACUGUAAUAAAGGCAUAGUCCCACAGAGUCUCUCUCUUUCUCUGUCUCUUGACCCCCACUCGCUGGCUGAGCUCCCUGUCACCUGAACUUCCCAUAGGCCUCCUGUUGGCACUCUUAUCUCUGGGACAUCUUAAUUAUCCUCUGUGAUCCACACUAAAGUAUUUUGAAGAAUAACAAAGCUCUCCAAGGGUCUUAAUACAGCUGCCUCGGCAACAUGGCCUCAUGGUUUUUGGAUUUAAUGGGAGAGCUGGUGUCAACAACUUUUUCAAUCCAGAUGCUCUGUGAUCUGUGUGCUUUGAAGGAAAGGAGAGGAAGUGCUGUGUGUUUCAACUGAAGGACUCUAUUGGUAAUUCUUUGAUAUCCAGGUAAUACUCUCAAAAUCUGCCAUGUAACUCCACAUUGACAUUAGUUUCCUGGCUUCAAGAGGGGACUGAGAAGGAGCUGCAGUAUUACUGGUGAGCACUGGUGAUGGAAAAAGUGCAGGGCCCACAGCUCAGGACAACGGAGGCCAGCCAAGCAAUAAAGUCAGAGAAAAACCUCACAGUGACAACUCUGAGUAAUCGGGAGGCAAAUGCAAGCUCUACUUUUGUACUUAAACAAGUAUUUUUGAAGAGCUCAGAGCUAGCAUGGUUUAGGUAUUUGGAUUGAAAUGUCAAUAUUAAUGGGACUUCAUUGAUAGAUUUGAGGAAUAUUGGGUCACCUGACUAAAACCACAGUGACCAAUCUUUGUUUAUCAUUGUCCCCCUGCACAAUAUUUCUAAUUGUUUUCUUAAAGCUAGAUCCCCAGAUGAUGAGUUACCCAGUUUUUCAAUUUGGGUUUGCCCCCCAAACAAACCCUAAGGCAAGUAUUUGUGUGCAAGGAGUUUAUUUGGAAGAUCCCAGCAUGCCCAAGUGAGGAAUUGGAAAAACUGAAAUGGAGAAAAAAGAAAAACCAAUGAAAGGUGCUUUAAUAAGUGGAUUACUCCCAUGGGCAACAGGGACUGAAACCUACUAGGGACACUUUGAGAAACCAUAUGCAACACACUCAGAAUCAGUCUACAAAGAUUGGCAAGCUGAGGCAUUGAUAUAUUUGUUAGUAUCUCCUUUCUUUGGAGGUUGCUUCAGGUUUAUUAACUCCAGAAAAUGGCUACUUGUGGCUGAGCAGAAUGAUAAGAGAGGUGAUACAUUUGAGAUGUAAACUUGUCAGAGGGCUGAAAAUUCUAUGUGACCAUUACCAAAGCACACAAGUGGGAUGAGGGGUAAGGGAUGGAGCAUUGGCAGCAUCAGCUACACUGAGUUUACCAUGUCUGUAUUUCAAUAUACUGUUCUUGUGAAUAUGUGCCAUAUAUUUAGGAUUGUUAUUCUUUUGCUUUCUUUCAACUAGGAAUCACAAAGUAUCUAGAUAUAUAAGAUAGACAAUACCUCUAAAGCUUUUUUCAAUCUCUGUGUCAUAGUUCUGUUAAGCAACCAAAGCAUGUGGGCCAUUCUACUUUGAAGGUCUGCUGGAAUGUGUAUUUCUCCUUGGAAAGAAUAAAUAUUGAGGCACAAAGAGGCUUGAAAUGUGGAAGAGGAAUGUGCUACCAUAGCAGCCUCACUCUGAGGGUGGCCUAAAUUGACUUGGCAUUUUGGCUCAUAGCUUUGAAAAUUCCCUUUAUUUCUACCCCAAAUUCAAGUUGUCGGAUGUCAGUACCCAUUUAUGUAUAUAGCGUUUUGUUUUCACUUUCCAGUUCUCCCUCAUUCUACUUGUAAUAAAUCAAC